CAUGUUAUCAGCUUUCGCUGUGUGGUUGUCAGGGUCUCUCCGACCAUUCUCACCGCCAUCUCCACCUCCCUCCAAUCUCUGCCUCCGCCGACGCUCCUUCUCCGCGCCUUGCGCUCUCGUUUCUCGGCCUGUGAACGGGUAAUCUUCGCCUUCUGCAAUAAAAAAAGGCGGUGGAAGAAUCGGAAGACGCGCCUUCCGCAGUGUUUGGAAGGUCUGGAGCUUGCCCGGAGCUGUGGCUUUUGGCUGAAUGAGCGCUCAUCCAUGCCUUUAUUAGAAAUUGCCACUGCACAGCCUAACUUCCAAAAUCAUCUGGGUGCACUCGGGGCUCAAGCCUUUGUUCACGGUAGAUUGUUCUCUAGUUCGUUUGCUUUCGGGAAUGAUAAAAGGCUUGCCUCAUGGAAACUGUCUAAUGCACCUAAAAAGAAUCAAGUCGAGCCGCAUCCACCAAAGUUUGUGGUUAAGGCAGUUGCCACCCUAGAGUACAAGUGCUCAGUUCUGAACGAAGAUGAGGUUUAUCUCGCAAAAGCUCACAGAUGGCUACAGUUUCGAGUUCAUCAGGUGCCCGACUUGGGUCAUCUGAGGAAGAUGAAAUGGAAUUGGAUGAAAGAGAGAAACUGAGGCGGAUGAGAAUUUCUAAGGCAAAUAAGGGGAACACCCCAUGGAAUAAAGGCAGGAAGCAUAGUGCAGAAACCCUGCAACGAAUCAAAGAGAGAACAAGACUAGCAAUGCAGAAUCCUAAGGUCAAGAUGAAGUUGAUUAACCUUGGACAUGCACAGAGUGAGAAGACAAGAAAGAAAAUUGGCGUUGGAGUUCGAAUGGGGUGGCAAAGGCGCCGUGAAAAGUUGAUGGGACAGGAGACAUGCUAUCAUCAAUGGCAGAACUUGAUUGCAGAAGCAUCCAGAAAAGGUUAUGUGGGUGAGGAGGAGUUGCGGUGGCAUUCGUAUGACAUAUUGAAUGAACGGCUUGCGCGCGAGUGGUUAGAGAGCAUUGAGCAGCGGAAAUCGAUGCCUAGGCCAAAAGGUAGCAAGAGAGCUCCUAAGUCGCCAGAGCAAAGAAGAAAAAUUGCUGAAGCAAUUGCAGCAAAAUGGACAGAUCCUGAAUACCGUGAACGAGUCUAUUCUGGCCUGGCUAAGUAUCAUGGAACACCAGUUGGAGUUGAAAGAAAGCCAAGGAGAAGGCCAGCUGACACCGGCAGCACACGACCAAAGAAAGGGAGCCCAUCUCAGAGAAAAUCCAGUGACAUAGACAACACUCCCAGACAAGAUCCUCAGAGCCAAAUCCAAAAACUGAGGCUGAAGAGAAGGAAAACUCCUCUCUUUAAGGAUCCUUUGGCUAGUUCCAAGUUGGAGAUGAUAAAGAGUAUCAGGGCACGCAGAGCGGCUCAAGAAACAAACAAGAAGGAAGCCAUAGAACGAGCAAGGCUAUUGAUCGCUGAAGCUGAAAGGGCAGCCAAAGCAUUGGAGGUUGCUGCAAUGAAGAGUCCCAUUGCUAGAGCUUCCCUUGCAGAGACCAGAAAGCUUAUAGCUGAAGCCAUUCAAUCAAUUGAAUCGAUAGAAACAGGAUCUAUGCCAUCCACUGACAACGGUUCAUACACUUCGGCCGCGCUACCAGAUCCGAUCAAUCAUAUCGAGGAGGAAACAGCUACAGUUUCUGGGAAUCGACAGAACCGGAGAAAAGUCAAUGGAAGCCAAGUGAAGACAUGGGAGAACAGUGAUGGGGACUUCGAUUUCAGGGGUUUUGGCUUGCCGGAUGUGCUGGAUGAAGAAGGCGAACUUGAUCCUAUCGACCUGGAUUUUGUUCCCCUUGAUUUGGAAGCUCGAAUGGUCCAUUCGGGAGAGCGGCAUGACAUGCCGGAACCAAAUGGCCUUGCAGAAGGUGAAAGCAGAACAUCGCCAAACGGAACCAAGAGUAACGUUCAAUCAAUGGGAAGCGAAUCAUGCUCUAAGCCCAUCGCAGCGAUGAAGAAAUGGGUACGUGGUAGGCUGGUGGAAGUGGCUGACUGAUUUUUUGGUCUCAAAUACAGUAAAACCUGCUGAUAUAGUGAACAGAGUUUCAUUGUACCAUUUGAAAUUGAUCAUAUCUAUGAGCUAGAGGCCGGUUCUUGAAUUCGGGACUAUAAGUGAAUUGAUACGCCGCAGCGGGCGAGGAACUACAGAUCGUUGUAUAUCAUUCGAGAUACGAUUGUCGAAGGGCCUCUUGUUCGACAUUGUUAUUGCUGUAGGAGCAAUCUUAGAUUGAGUUGAUGACCAACAUGGACGUCUUAGAAUGAGUUGUAUCUGCUAUCUAUACAUUUGCCAUCUUCUAUGUUGUCUUGAA